UAUGAGACGUGGCUAAAAGCCGGUAAAGUACGGGUACAAAACGUCGGCAGGUAGUCGUGGAAGAUACAUACGUUGUACUUUGGUCGUUUAACUUAUGUUAUUGUGUCAUUGGUAAUAUCGAUAAUAUUUUCUGAUUUGUGAUUUUCUUGCUGGUAAUUUUAAAAGAUGCCAAGGAGCAAUAAAAGGUUUAAAGCAACUGUAGCUGUCACAUAUCAUGAUGAGGAUGGCCAUGUUGAGAGAGGAGGUGGAUUUGUCAGAAUUGGUUACUGAGGAUCAUAGAGGAAGCUGUUCUUUUAACAGUCCUGAUAAUUGUGGUGCAUUGGAAGGCCAUGAACUGGGAAUGGAACAAGAUAACAGUGAUCUUGAAAGUGAUGUUCACCAUGAUUGUGAAGAAUCAUCUUCUUAUUACCAGAAA